rnacentral:rRNA from 1 species
GACGUAGGGCGCAAGCGUUGUCCGGAUUUAUUGGGCGUAAAGAGCUCGUAGGCGGCCUGUCGCGUCGACUGUGAAAAACCACGACUCAACCGUGGGACUGCAGUCGAUACGGGCAGGCUAGAGUUCGGUAGGGGAGACUGGAAUUCCUGGUGUAGCGGUGAAAUGCGCAGAUAUCAGGAGGAACACCGGUGGCGAAGGCGGGUCUCUGGGCCGAUACUGACGCUGAGGAGCGAAAGCGUGGGGAG